rnacentral:rRNA from 1 species
GACGUAGGGCGCGAGCGUUGUCCGGAUUUAUUGGGCGUAAAGAGCUCGUAGGCGGCUUGUCGCGUCGACUGUGAAAACCCGCGGCUCAACUGCGGGCCUGCAGCCGAUACGGGCAGGCUAGAGUUCGGUAGGGGAGACUGGAAUUCCUGGUGUAGCGGUGAAAUGCGCAGAUAUCAGGAGGAACACCGGUGGCGAAGGCGGCAUCCUGGACCAACACUGACGCUGAGGAGCGAAAGCCAGGGGAGCAAACGGG